UGGGGAAUAUUGGGCAAUGGGCGAAAGCCUGACCCAGCAACGCCGCGUGAAGGAAGAAGGUCUUCGGAUUGUAAACUUCUGUCGUCAGGGACGAAAAAGGACGGUACCUGGCAAGAAAGCCCCGGCUAACUACGUGCCAGCAGCCGCGGUAAUACGUAGGGGGCGAGCGUUGUCCGGAAUUACUGGGCGUAAAGGGCGCGUAGGCGGCCUGUUAAGUUAGAUGUGAAAUCCCCGGGCUCAACUUGGGUGUUGCAUUUAAAACUGGCAGGCUUGAGUGCAGGAGAGGAAAGUGGAAUUCCUAGUGUAGCGGUGAAAUGCGUAGAUAUUAGGAGGAACACCAGUGGCGAAGGCGACUUUCUGGACUGUAACUGACGCUGAGGCGCGAGAGCGUGGGGAGCAAACAGG
rnacentral:rRNA from 3 species